rnacentral:rRNA from 1 species
AACGUAGGUGGCGAGCGUUAUCCGGAUUUACUGGGCGUAAAGAGCUCGUAGGUGGUUUGUCGCGUUGUUCGUGAAAACUCACAGCUCAACUGUGGGCGUGCGGGCGAUACGGGCAGACUAGAGUACUGCAGGGGAGACUGGAAUUCCUGGUGUAGCGGUGGAAUGCGCAGAUAUCAGGAAGAACACCAACGGGCGAAAGGCAGCUCCGCUGGGACGGUA